AUUGCAAAGUCAUAAUAGAGGACUAUAUAUUAAAUGGAUUUUUGGAACAAGGAUAUGGAAUAGGAGCUUCCUCCAUCCAUUCCACUCAUCGACCUGGUAUUGCAGUACCUCCAGGAAUGGUGCAUCUUCC
rfam:Chelonia mydas contig204759, whole genome shotgun sequence.